rnacentral:lncRNA from 1 species
CCUUUGAAACGGGCGGUGGAUACCGAAAUUGCAAUUCCAGAAAACCAUCAUCUUUCCACCACCGUAACCCGUCAGUUUAACAUAAGAACCAUAACCAUCAAGAGGACUAGGCAACUUAGGUAGGGCUACCAAACCGUUCAAAUCUCUCCAGCUUGUCUUGUCGGAGUCAUACCAUGUCAGAGCUCCGUCUUCAGAAACAGAGUAGAGAACAUUAUCAACCUCGCAGAAAGAACCUGAGCACAUAAUACCCGUGCUUGGAUAUUGUUCAACCAGGUCCCAUCUACAUUGCUUUGAAUCGAAAGCAAACAACCCAUCGAAUAAAGUCACCACAUGGAGCUUUCCGUCGAUAAGAUAAUUGAUUCUGGCGCUAUCAAAACCACCACAGGAAGGGAGAUCCCAAGUUUGGGUGUUUGUGUUGAAUACCUCGAAGGAGCUCUUCCAGGAACCAUCAUCUUGAUGGAAGCGUCGUCCGAGUACAUAUAUCUUGCGAUCAAGGAACCUGGCAGAAAGUUCAGUUAGCUCCACUGGCAUGCGUGGAGGAGACUUACGCCACCUGUGAGUCUUGCAAUCAAGAAUCGAGACCCCAGAGGUGGGCAUGGUUUUAUUUUUAUCUGCUACGCCAAUGUUGUAGAUAUCAGAACCAACCGCCACAAGAUCUGAAUAACACAAACCCAUCAUACGAGGAGAAUCAUCAUCGAGCAUUAAGACUCUAGCCAAAACGUAGCCGCCGCCGCCACUACUCUUCUUGGAGAGGGUGUACCACUUAUAACAACUAAACCCGAACCUCAAGCAAACAUAGAGACAAGUCUCCGUGAGGCCCAAGAGUGACCUAACCUUGUAAAGCUCAGGUGAAACCACCAUAGAUCGGAAGCUCUUGGAGACUAGUGACAAAGUCCGAUAGUACGAUCUUGGAACCCGUGCCACGAUCAUCACUAGCAAAUCAUAGGCAAGUGACGACGAUGAUGUGAGCUUCUUCUUCUUCUUCUCCCUAAUACUCGUCGUCGUUGUCUUCCUCUUCCUCGUCGUCGAUACGGAAUCGCCCUUGAUCAACCUCUCCAUUUCGGCUCCUAUUUAGGGGUUGGCGCCGAAACUGCGACCUCCUUCUUCUUCUUCUUCUUCUCGCCUGUUGGUUUGAUUUUUUCAAAGCUGCUGUGUCUACUACUAUUUUGGGUAUGGGUCUUUUGUAUUGGGCUUUAUUAAGCCCACUACCUCUCACUACAAUUUAAAUGCGGAUUUUGGGUUAUAGCAUUUCGUUUUGGGUAUGGGGUCUUUUCUAUUGGGCUUUGUUAAGCACACUAUUUUGGGUAUAGCAUUUCGUUUUUACAAAAGAUGUCUGAAAUUUUAGAAUUUUGGAUCUUUCUACAAUACUAAACCAUUUUAGACUUAAAGCUUCUAUCUUUUACUCUAAACCAAUAAUUUUACAAACAUUUAUAACUAGAUGAUACAUUAUUAAUUCAAGUACCGUUAAAUACAAACAAAACAAAUUGGGGGAGUACCAUUUAAUUUGAGAUUGAAAACAAAAGCUCACCUGAGGCUGAGCAGUAUCUGUUCAUUUGCGAUCACACUUACAUAGCUCUGAUCUGUCCUUCAUAUCUGGCGCAACGUUUCAACGGUAACAUAGUACUUGAGAAGUCCUCUCCAGUUCUCCAAAUUGUGAUUUCAAUAUAUAGUAAGCACGAUUUGAUUUUGAUAAUAUAUGCCUAAUGUGAUGCUUAUUUUUAGCGAUUAUGUGACCCAAAUGAUGAUUUUGGUGUGUGUUGAUUUGGUGUUCUCUUCAGAACCAUGGCUGGUAACACGGAGGGAGAGAAGUUCUACCGGAUAAAUUGGAAGAUGCCAGGCAAAGCUCUAGCGGUAUGGUCUCUGUCUCUUGUUUUUGUAGAAGUCCGGAACUGGGUUUCCACAGGGACUAAAAGCAUAGUAUCAAACCACUCAAGUUUGCCCCAACAAUCUCCAUUGCGUCUUUCAAGGGCUAUCUCGGCACAAUAUAUGGUAUCCCUUUGAAACGGGCGGUGGAUACCGAAAUUGCAAUUCCAGAAAACCAUCAUCUUUCCACCACCGUAACCCGUCAGUUUAACAUAAGAACCAUAACCAUCAAGAGGACUAGGCAACUUAGGUAGGGCUACCAAACCGUUCAAAUCUCUCCAGCUUGUCUUGUCGGAGUCAUACCAUGUCAGAGCUCCGUCUUCAGAAACAGAGUAGAGAACAUUAUCAACCUCGCAGAAAGAACCUGAGCACAU